rnacentral:rRNA from 1 species
GAUUAACGCUAGCGGCGUGCAUAACACAUGCAAGUCGAACGAUGAAACUUAAAUGAUUUCUUCGGAAUGAACUUAAGUGGAUUAGUGGCGGACGGGUGAGUAACGCGUGAGUAACCUGCCUUACACAAGGGGAUAGCCGUUGGAAACGACGAAUAAUACCCUAUGAAACUAUCACUUCGCAUGAAGCGAUAGUCAAAGUGUUAGCGGUGUAAGAUGGACUUGCGUCUGAUUAGCUAGUUGGUGAGAAAAAAGCCCACCAAGGCAACGAUCAGUAGCCGGCUUGAGAGAGUGUACGGCCACAUUGGGACUGAGGCACGGCCCAGACUCCUACGGGAGGCAGCAGUGGGGAAUUUUGCACAAUGGGGGAAACCCUGAUGCAGCGACGCCGCGUGAUUUAGAAGGCCUUCGGGUUGUAAAAAUCUUUUGUAUAGGAAGAAAAUGACAGUACUAUACGAAUAAGGUCCGGCUAAUUACGUG